rnacentral:rRNA from 1 species
UACGGGGGGAGCAACCGUUGUUCGGAAUCACUGGGCGUAAAGGGCGUGUAGGCGGCUGGAUAAGUGGGAUGUUAAAUCCCCCGGCUCAACCGGGGACCUGCAUCUCAUACUGUUCAGCUCGAGCACAUCAGAGGAGACUGGAAUUCCCGGUGUAGCGGUGAAAUGCGUAGAUAUCGUAAGGAAGACCAGUGGCGAAGGCGGGUCUCUGGACAGUUCCUGACGCUGAGGCGCGAAGGCCAGGGGAGCAAACGGG